GACGAACGCUGGCGGCGUGCUUAACACAUGCAAGUCGAACGGAAAGGCCCCUUUGGGGGUACUCGAGUGGCGACCGGGUGCGUAACACGUGAGUAACCUGCCCUUGACUUCGGGAUAACUUCAGGAAACUGGGGCUAAUACCGGAUAGGAAUCAUUGCUGCAUGGUGGGGGUUGGAAAGCUUCGGCGGUUUUGGAUGGACGCGCGGCUUAUCAGCUUGUUGGUGGGGUAGUGGCUUACCAACGCUUUGACGGGUAGCCGGCCUGAGAGGGCGACCGGCCACAUUGGGACUUAGAUACGGCCCAGACUCCGACGGGAGGCAGCAGGGGGGAAUAUUGCACAAUGGGCGGAAGCCUGAUGCAGCAACGCCGCGGGCGGGAUGACGGCCUUCGUGUUGUAAACCGCUUUCAGCAGGGGCGAAGCUUGUGGUGACGGUACCUGCAGAAGAAGCACCGGCUAACUACGUG
rnacentral:rRNA from 1 species